rnacentral:rRNA from 1 species
GAUGAACGCUGGCGGCGUGCCUAAUACAUGCAAGUCGAGCGAACGGACGAGAAGCUUGCUUCUCUGAUGUUAGCGGCGGACGGGUGAGUAACACGUGGAUAACCUACCUAUAAGACUGGGAUAACUUCGGGAAACCGGAGCUAAUACCGGAUAAUAUUUUGAACCGCAUGGUUCAAAAGUGAAAGACGGUCUUGCUGUCACUUAUAGAUGGAUCCGCGCUGCAUUAGCUAGUUGGUAAGGUAACGGCUUACCAAGGCAACGAUGCGUAGCCGACCUGAGAGGGGGAUCGGCCACACUAGAACUGAGACACGGACCAGACUCCUACGGGAGGCAGCAGUAGGGAAUCUUCCGCAAUGGGCGAAAGCCUGACGGAGCAACGCCGCGUGAGUGAUGAAGGUCUUCGGAUCGUAAAACUCUGUUAUUAGGGAAGAACAUAUGUGUAAGUAACUGUGCACAUCUUGACGGUACCUAAUCAGAAAGCCACGGCUAACUACGUG